UACGAAGGUGGCAAGCGUUGUUCGGAUUUACUGGGCGUACAGGGAGCGUAGGCGGUUGGAUAAGCCCUCCGUGAAAUCUCCAGGCUUAACCUGGAAAGUGCAGAGGGGACUGUUCAGCUAGAGGAUGGGAGAGGAGCGCGGAAUUCCCGGUGUAGCGGUGAAAUGCGUAGAGAUCGGGAGGAAGGCCGGUGGCGAAGGCGGGCG
rnacentral:rRNA from 1 species